UACGAAGGGGGCUAGCGUUGUUCGGAAUUACUGGGCGUAAAGCGCACGUAGGCGGACUAUUAAGUCAGGGGUGAAAUCCCGGGGCUCAACCCCGGAACUGCCUUUGAUACUGGUAGUCUCGAGUCCGAGAGAGGUGAGUGGAAUUCCGAGUGUAGAGGUGAAAUUCGUAGAUAUUCGGAGGAACACCAGUGGCGAAGGCGGCUCACUGGCUCGGUACUGACGCUGAGGUGCGAAAGUGUGGGGAGCAAACAGG
rnacentral:rRNA from 1 species